GAUGAACGCUGGCGGCGUGCUUAACACAUGCAAGUCGAACGGAAAGGCCAGUGCUUGCCCUGGUACUCGAGUGGCGAACGGGUGAGUAACACGUGGGUGAUCUGCCCUGCACUUCGGGAUAAGCCUGGGAAACUGGGUCUAAUACCGGAUAGGACAUUGUUUUGCAUGCCGUUGUGGAAAGUUUUUGCGGUGUGGGAUGAGCUCGCGGCCUAUCAGCUUGUUGGUGGGGUAAUGGCCUACCAAGGCGUCGACGGGUAGCCGGCCUGAGAGGGCGUACGGCCACGUUGGAACUGAGAUACGGGCCAGAGUCCUACGGGAGGCGGGAGUGGGGAAUAUUGCACAAUGCGCGCAAGCCUGAGGCAGGGAGGCCGCGUGGGGGAUGAAGGCCGUCGGGUUGUAAGAUCCAUUGGCUAAGGAAGAAGCGAAUUUGUGACGGUACCUGGAGAAGAAGCACCGGCUAACUACGUG
rnacentral:rRNA from 1 species